rnacentral:rRNA from 1 species
CCUACGGGAGGCAGCAGUGGGGAAUUUUGGACAAUGGGGGCAACCCUGAUCCAGCCAUGCCGCGUGAGUGAAGAAGGCCUUCGGGUUGUAAAGCUCUUUCAGUUGGGAAGAAACGGGGUUCUCUAACAUAGGAUCCUAAUGACGGUACCGACAGAAGAAGCACCGGCUAACUACGUGCCAGCAGCCGCGGUAAUACGUAGGGUGCGAGCGUUAAUCGGAAUUACUGGGCGUAAAGCGUGCGCAGGCGGUUUUGUAAGACAGGUGUGAAAUCCCCGGGCUUAACCUGGGAACUGCGCUUGUGACUGCAAGGCUAGAGUACGGCAGAGGGGGGUGGAAUUCCACGUGUAGCAGUGAAAUGCGUAGAUAUGUGGAGGAACACCGAUGGCGAAGGCAGCCCCCUGGGCCGAUACUGACGCUCAUGCACGAAAGCGUGGGGAGCAAACAGGAUUAGAUACCCUGGUAGUCCACGCCCUAAACGAUGUCGACUAGUUGUUCGGAGCGGUAACGCACUGAGUAACGUAGCUAACGCGUGAAGUCGACCGCCUGGGGAGUACGGUCGCAAGAUUAAAACUCAAAUGAAUUGACGG